AGACAAUUAGUUAAAAUAAUAUAGCCCUGUCAAAGCUAAGUUACUCCCUAAGGUAUUGUCUU
rnacentral:tRNA from 1 species